UCUUAAUAAACUCCUGCUGGUGAGACUGAGUGGUUUCUGGUCCGAUCUACAGGCUGAGGUGAAGCCAGACGCAGCGACAGCCCUGAGAUCCUCCGGCCUGACUUUUCCCUCCAGGCCGUUCCCGUGAUGAAGGCUUCACUCUUCCAGGCUUCAUGUGACUCCGGCAAUCACUGCCUCAUUCACCACACUGGCAUCGGUGGUUUUCAGACCUUAAAGACGACUCAUCUGCUCAGCGUUGGCUUUAAUUCUCACCGUCACACUGCGGCGAUCCGCGGAUUUUCUCCUUCCAGUCAACAAAGCCUGUUUACAGUCACCGCGGGUCAGGACGCAUCCGCUGACGUCCGGCGCUCGGGAGAUGACUGACUUUCAUAAUUCAGCUUUUAAUAUCAAAAAUGAAGUUGAAGAGAUGAACUUUUACUUCCUGUCUUCAUUACUUUUAUUUUCUUUCCAAGUAAACACGCUUUCUACUAAUCCUUAAAGAGCUGCUGAUUAACAGUUUUUCAUGCUUUUCUCCAGGUUUUCUUUGAAAAUGUUUUGCAGUUUGAAUGUUUGACCAUUUCCACCAUGUGUGGCUGCUGGUUUGUGACUGGGACCAACCAGCCUCAGAGACUUUGAUGUCUGAAUGGUCAGCCUGCUAAACAUAAAGAGACCCGUUGAUUGGACCAAAUAACUGACUUUGUUACAGAACCGGCUCCAUAUCGGAUCUUUGGGUUCUAACGCCGUUUGGUUUUUACUGGCUGCUCAGAUGAGCAGAACGUCAAAACGAAUAUUAAGACCCAAACUUUCAGUAAUUAUUAGCCGUUAUUACUAUUUAUAUGUUUGUAUUAUUUAAGUAUUUAUUCUGGGAAGAGAUGGAGAUUUGAGUCACAAAAAUAAAUGACUUGACUUGGA